ensembl:lncRNA
CAACUAGUUCAAAGCCAUUCAUAUGCAAGGAAUGUGGACAGUGUUACCAUGAUCAGAGUUCGUUGUUAAAUCACAUAAGUGUUCACCAGGACAAGCGACCGAAAAUUACGGAAGAAAUAAAUGGGUUGCAUCAAAUUAAAGAUGAAGGUAAAGAUGCAAAGUUGCAGUGCCCCCAGUGCACCUUUGGAACAAACUGUCCAAACACCUUUGUACAACACGCUAAGACCCACGAGAAGGACAAGCGGUACUAUAGUUGUAAUAAGUGCGAUUUUGUCGAAAUGAAUGAGGUUGAACUGAGACGCCAUUUGCUUCAUAAACAUGGCAUCAGUGGGUCUGAUCUGACUGUUUGGAAAUCAGAUGGAUUUCAGGAGCGUAAAGUCAAUAAAUCAGUAUGUCCAAUUUCCUUCUCCCGUCCUUUUCAAAGAAAAAUUAAAAACAUCAUUGGAAAUCAUGUUGAGGCUUCGUGCCAACCGCAGUUUAUAGAAGAUCAGGCAUCCUCACAUUCCCUUGACAAUUUUGAUGAAGAACCAUCUCCAACUGAAAAGUCAUUCUCUGUUUGCAAUGUUCUUACAUCAUGUGCAAAACCAACAGCAAGGUCGCCAAAAUUGUCAGUGAAGAUCCGAGCAUCGGACAAAAACAAAAGCUUGUCGUCCAGUGAGAAGUGUGGUCUUGUACGGAAGAAAAAGGUGUGGAUGAAUAAAGGUGUCCAAAGCCAAUCAAGAAUUGACAAAUCAAUUCCCACACUUUUAUCCAGAAAGAAACAUAGUAACCAGAGUGCCUCAGAAUGCAACACUCAUCAGGAGCCUGAUGGAAGCAGUACAACAGAGUGUCUUGACGAUUCCCUCAAUUGCGAGACCACUCUUUCCGGAACAGGUGCUAGUUUGUCCCCCUUAAAGUGUCUGAAAAGAUCAGCUAAAGAAGGGAACACUAAAAGAACUUCUAAGUCUGAUGAAAACAUUACUUGUUCAGAAGAUGUUGGAAACACCAACUAUAUGCAUAUAAGUUUGGGAAAGCAAACAUUAAAGAAGUCACCUUCCAAAAGGAAAAUGUCUACUCCAUUCCACAAUAUGCAGGGCCAAGAUAUUCUUUUAGAUUUCCCAAAAUGCCGACAAAAUUUGAAAAAACCUGAAACAUCCAAGAGGAGUAAAGAAAUUAUCAACAACGGUCAUUUUAUGUGUGAUUCUAAUGAUGAUCUUGGACCUGAAGAAUGUGAAAGUAACGAGAAUGCUAAUGCACGUUUUGUUAAAAAACAGACGUCACCUGCAAAAGCAAGUCUUGGUGCCUCAACUGGUCACUUUGGGAAAAACCACAGUUCCCCAAGGAUGCUCUCUGUCAAAGAUGAAUGCAAGGAUGAAGAAAUCUCGGAAACGAUCACAGUUGUAAAGCGUGAACCGGGCUCAGAUGUUGAGUCCGAUCUGAAGGCUUGUCCGUACUGUCCUGCUGUAUUUGAGUCAG